AGAGUUUGAUCAUGGCUCAGGAUGAACGCUAGCUACAGGCUUAACACAUGCAAGUCGAGGGGAAACGAUAUUGGAAGCUUGCUUCCGAUAGGCGUCGACCGGCGCACGGGUGAGUAACGCGUAUCCAACCUGCCCACCACUUGGGGAUAACCUUGCGAAAGUAAGACUAAUACCCAAUGACGUCUCUAGAAGACAUCUGAAAGAGAUUAAAGAUUUAUCGGUGAUGGAUGGGGAUGCGUCUGAUUAGCUUGUUGGCGGGGUAACGGCCACCAAGGGCUACGAUCAGUAGGGGUUCUGAGAGGAAGGUCCCCCACAUUGGAACCUGAGACACGGUCCAAAACUCCUACGGGAGGCA
rnacentral:rRNA from 1 species